rnacentral:rRNA from 1 species
CGUCGAGUGGCGGACGGGUGAGUAAUACUUAGGAAUCUGCCCAUUAGUGGGGGACAACUAGAAGAAAUUCUAGCUAAUACCGCAUACGCCCUACGGGGGAAAGCGGGGGAUCUUCGGACCUCGCGCUAAUGGAUGAGCCUAAGUCGGAUUAGCUUGUUGGUGGGGUAAUGGCCUACCAAGACUACGACGCGUAGCGGAUCUGAGAGGAUGAUCCGUCACAUUGGGACUGAGAUACGGCCCAG